UCACAAUCGAGGAAAUGAUUAAGAUAUGAAGCACGCAAUUUGAUGCGUUUUAUUUUCCAUUAUGAGAUCAUGUAACUUUUAACAAUACUCUAGUUUAUAUUUUGUUCACUUGUUUGAAAUGUAUAAAGCAAGUAUAUUUAUUAUGUAUCAUCUUAUUUAUAAUGCUUCUUUUGACUAAUACUGCAGAAAUCAUUUAAAACUAAUUAUAGAAACAUUAUCAUCCAGGUGUCUUUCCGUAACCAACAGAUGAGUGUUAUCCUGUGUGAUUCAAUUUAUGCAUAAUACAAUUUUGAAUAAUUUUUAAAGCCACUGUUAUCUCAUUUAUUUUGAUUUGUUGAUGUUUUUAUGGUUUGAUGUGUAAUCAAAUUGGUAUGUAUUUCGAAGUCGAUUAUCUUCACACGGACACUGUUGUUUAGAUAUGUUGUAGAAUGUGCAAUAAAGAACGAUUGAUACAUUAUUGUUUCUUAAGCUGUUGGUUUAAAAAAAAUCAAACAUUAAGUUUGUCAUUCUGUGUAGCAAAAUGUCAUUAUAUCAAGUGAAACAAGGCUAAUUUUACGUCUUUACAACCAUUGGAAUAUUAUGUAUUAAUAUGCUCUCCUGAUAAGCUACUGAUACAAUAGUCCUUAGCUCGGUGCAUAUAUGAAUUAAAGCUACAUGUCUUCUAAAUUCAUUCAGGCUUUGAAUAUCAUCAAUUCUUCAAAUUUUUAACUCCUCGAUUUUUUUCUGUUUUUUAGUGACAAAUAUUGAACUUGCUAAAUUAGCUAAUAUCUUGUAAUUUUCAGAUAUGUUGACCACCCUUUAAAAGAUAAAUUUUGUCAUCAAGAUUAUGUCUAAAGUCGGUACAGCCUUCUUUUAGUAAAUUAAAGGCUUUGCAUAGUGGAUGGUGGGUGAAUACCAUGUCGACUCAUCUUGACUCACUUUCUUGAAAAAAUAAGAUAUAUUAUAACCUCAGUUUUUGAACCUUGUUUCGUAUCUUCUAGUAGAUUAAUGCAAUUUGAACACCGAUACAUAACUGUUAUUUUGCUUUUUGGACGACAGUUAACACCACAAUUUGUGCUAUGUGGUUCGAUAAUUUUAUCCGUUUUUUUCAUGAAGAAUGAAAUAAAAUGACUGGAACUUUUUCCUAUUAUGUAAUUCUCUAUUAUUAACAUGAAGUCCAUCUGCCGUUUUACGAAUUACCACUUCGCUGAUUAAUGGCAAUACAUUUAAACAUUCUGACAUCAGAAUCAAUAAUUACAAAUGCAUUUAAUAACACUAUGAUGAAUUUAUCGUGCGAUGUUAAUAACUGUGGAUGAUUUGAAUAAUUAUUUACGCAGUCGCUAUGCAUUUUAGGAUUUUUGCAUAUUUACUUAAUAUGUGUUAGAUGAUUGGAACUA
rnacentral:lncRNA from 1 species